CACGUAGUUAGCCGUGACUUUCUGGUUGAUUACCGUCAAAUAAAGGCCAGUUACUACCUCUAUCCUUCUUCACUAACAACAGAGCUUUACGAUCCGAAAAUCUUCUUCACUCACGCGGCGUUGCUCCAUCAGACUUGCGUCCAUUGUGGAAGAUUCCCUACUGCUGCCUCCCGUAGGAGUUUGGGCCGUGUCUCAGUCCCAAUGUGGCCGAUCAGUCUCUCAACUCGGCUAUGCAUCGUCGCCUUGGUAAGCCGUUACCUUACCAACUAGCUAAUGCACCGCGGGGCCAUCCCUUAGCGACAGCUUACGCCGCCUUUCAAAAGCUGAUCAUGCGAUCUGCUUUAUUAUCCGGUAUUAGCACCUGUUUCCAAAUGGUAUCCCAGACUUAGGGGCAGGUUCCCCACGUGUUACUCACCCAUCCGCCGCUCGCUUUCCCAACGUCAUUACCGAAGUAAAUCUGUUGGUUCCGCUCGCUCGACUUGCAUGUAUUAGGCACGCCGCC
rnacentral:rRNA from 1 species